AUGCGUCACCGGGGGUGCCUGCCGACAGCGGCGGGCUGAGACUUACCCCAGGAACCUGAUCCGGGUCAGUACCAGCGGAGGGAGCGUGACCGGCAGCCCAC
rnacentral:ncRNA from 1 species